rnacentral:rRNA from 1 species
UACGAACGCUGGCGGCAGGCUUAACACAUGCAAGUCGAACGGGUGCAGCAAUGCAUCAGUGGCAGACGGGUGAGUAACACGUGGGAACCUUCCUCGGGGUACGGAACAACUCAGGGAAACUUGAGCUAAUACCGUAUACGUCCGUGAGGAGAAAGAUUUAUCGCCCUGAGACGGGCCCGCGUCGGAUUAGCUAGUUGGUGGGGUAACGGCCUACCAAGGCGACGAUCCGUAGCUGAUCUUAGAGGAUGAUCAGCCACACUGGGACUGAGACACGGCCCAGACUCCUACGGGAGGCAGCAGUGGGGAAUCUUGGACAAUGGGCGCAAGCCUGAUCCAGCCAUGCCGCGUAAGUGAAGAAGGUCUUCGGAUUGUAAAGCUCUUUUGCCAGGGACGAUAAUGACGGUACCUGGAGAAUAAGCCCCGGCAAACUUCGUGCCAGCCGCCGCAGUAA